UACCAACGGCCUUUCUGUACCUAUUGAG
rnacentral:piRNA from 1 species